UAGGGAAUAUUGGACAAUGGGGGCAACCCUGAUCCAGCCAUGCCGCGUGAGUGAAGAAGGCCCCCGGGCUGUAAAGCUCUUUUGUCCGGAAAGAAAAGCAUUCGGUGAAUACCCGGAUGUUCUGACGGUACCGGAAGAAUAAGCACCGGCUAACUUCGUGCCAGCAGCCGCGGUAAUACGAAGGGUGCAAGCGUUACUCGGAAUUACUGGGCGUAAAGCGUGCGUAGGUGGUUGUUUAAGUCUGAUGUGAAAGCCCUGGGCUCAACCUGGGAAUGGCAUUGNAAACUGGGCAGCUAGAGUGCGGUAGAGGGUAGUGGAAUUCCCGGUGUAGCAGUGAAAUGCGUAGAGAUCGGGAGGAACAUCUGUGGCGAAGGCGACUGCCUGGACCAGCACUGACACUGAGGCACGAAAGCGUGGGGAGCAAAC
rnacentral:rRNA from 1 species